UAGUAACGGCGAGUGAAGCGGUAACAGCUCAAAUUUGAAAUCUGGCUCCCUGCGGAGUCCGAGUUGUAAUUUGUAGAAGAUGCUUUGGGUGCACGACCCGGCCUAAGUGCCUUGGAACAGGACGUCGUAGAGGGUGAGAAUCCCGUAUGCGGCCGGCGUCGACGCCCGUGUAAAGCUCUUUCGACGAGUCGAGUUGUUUGGGAAUGCAGCUCAAAAUGGGUGGUAAAUUUCAUCUAAAGCUAAAUAUGGGCCAGAGACCGAUAGCGCACAAGUAGAGUGAUCGAAAGAUGAAAAGCACUUUGGAAAGAGAGUUAAACAGUACGUGAAAUUGUUGAAAGGGAAGCGCUUGCAACCAGACUUGGGCGUCGCUGAUCAUCCAAAGUUCUCUUUGGUGCACUCGACGACGCACAGGCCAGCAUCGGUUGGGGUGGUGGGAGAAAGACUGUAGGAACGUAGCUCUUUUCGGAGAGUGUUAUAGCCUGCGGUGCAAUACUGCCUACCUCGACCGAGGACCGCGCUUCGGCUAGGAUGCUGGCGUAAUGGUUGUAAGCGACCCGUCUUGAAACACGGACCAAGGAGUCUAAUAUCUAUGCGAGUGUUUGGGUGCGAAACCCAUGCGCGAAAUGAAAGUGAACGUAGGUGAGAACCCUUUGAGGGGGCAUCAUCGACCGAUCCUGAUGUCUUCGGAUGGAUUUGAGUAAGAGCAUAGCUGUUGGGA
rnacentral:rRNA from 1 species